UGAACAAAAAUAUAAAUGAAACACUUUUGUUUUUGCUCCCAUUUGUCAUGAGCUGAACUCAAAGAUCUAAAACAUUUUCUGUAUACACAAAAGACCCCUUUCUCUCAAUUAUUGUUCACAGUUCUGUCUAAAUCUGUGUUAGUGAGCAUUUCUAGUUUGCCGAG